GCUGGCUGCAAGUAAGAUUCUCUUUGUGUUGGUGCUGGACACUGUUGUGCAAGUUGGGCUCCCUUUUCAUGCAGGGUAAUUUCUAGAAGCAUGUCUACUCUUCACGGAGGACACAGGUUUCUGCUUGGAGUUUUAACAUUUGUUGUGAUCACCUUUGUGACCAGAGCUGCUGGGCUGCAUUGGGACCAGGCCAGCCACUGUUUUCCUGUAAUUAACCCUGUACAAGGCCCGAUCCACACUGAUGCUUUGCCUCUUCUUGCCAAGGGACCACAUUGGGAGACAUGUCUUGGUGUGUACUAUAACUACAACACGGUGUGAUAUUUUGUAGUGGUAUCUAAAGACCUUAAGAGUGUAGUGCUUGCUGGAACACAACACGUGUGAUAUUUUGUAGUGGUAUCUGAAGAUCUUGAGUGUGUAGUGCUUGCUGUGUUGCAUGCUUCAUCUGGUGUUGGGUUGCUGUCUCCUGUUUUUUGUCUCACCAGGGUCCUCCUGAGCAGGGGUUUUGCAUUGCCUGAUCCGACCUUCCUAGACUGAGGAAAAUCCACCCGUUGAUUAUAGCAGUAUUUUAAGCUCUAUCCUUAUAACUUUUCUACACCUUUUGUACUAAAUUGUAAUAAAUUUGAAAUACAUUUACAUAUCUGCCUUUUGUCAAUUGUCCCUUUGCGGGGAACAUGAACUAGCCACACUAUAUUCAGGGAAAGAUUUGUGGGUCCUCCUGCCCAUCAGGGGGUGGUGUAGUCAGCCUGUAAAGAAGGUAUACUGCUCGUCAGGUACCACAUUUGGACCUGUCUGGGAAUCCCUCCACCAGAAUGUCCCACUCUUUUACCAAGUUUCUGUUGGUCCCAGUGUCAGAAUUUUGAUCUCCAACUGUGGUUUCAUGCCUAUCAAUUAGCACAUGGCCCAAAACAGCCAGAUCAUAGUUAUGUUAUAAGUAAUAGUGAGAGAAGGGAAUAAACCCUACAAAACUACUAUCAAAGCAGUUAUUGUAGUUUCCUUUGUUUGUUCCCGCAUGUUGGCUCAGUCUGCACCAUUGCCAAUCCUUGAGGAUUCCAGUGUCCUGCUCACUAUUCUGUGCCAUUGACUUCAACAGCUGAUGCCAGCUGACUGACUUC